rnacentral:rRNA from 1 species
AUUGAACGCUGGCGGCAGGCCUAACACAUGCAAGUCGAGCGAGCGGCGGACGGGUGAGUAAUGUAUGGGGACUGCCCGAUAGAGGGGGAUAACUACUGGAAACGGUGGCUAAUACCGCAUACUAUCGGAUAACCCAUAUGGGAUUAGCUAGUAGGUUGGGUAAAGGCGAACCUAGGCGCAGAUCUCUAGCUGGUCGGAGAGGAGGAUCAGCAACAAUGGGACUGAGACAAGGCCCAGAAUCCUACGGAGGCAGCAGUGGGGAAGAGUGCACAAUGGGCGCAAGCCGGAUGCAGCCAUGCCGCGUGUAUGAAGAAGGACUUAGGGUUGUAAAGUACUUUCAGCGGGGAGGCGUUACCCGCAGAAGAAGCACCGGCUAACUCCGUGCCAGCAGCCGCGGUAAUGC